rnacentral:rRNA from 1 species
AUGGGCGGCGGCAGCCUCGGCGAGGUGCUCCACGGCAAGGGCGGCGGGUUCCUGGCGUGGGACCGGCGGUACCGGAUCGCGCUGGAGGCGGCGCACGGGCUCUGCUACCUGCACCACGACUGCAGCCCGAUGAUCGUGCACCGGGACGUCAAGUCCAACAACAUCCUCCUCGGCGACGGCCUGGAGGCCCACGUGGCGGACUUCGGGCUGGCCAAGUUCCUCCGCUCCGGCGCCGGCGCCGGCGCAGCCAACGCCGGCGCGUCCGAGUGCAUGUCCGCCGUCGCCGGGUCCUACGGCUACAUCGCGCCAGGUACGUACGAACACGUCUCGUUACAUACACAUGUGCUGGUGAGGGGUCAAUCAGAUUUGGUUUAG